rnacentral:lncRNA from 1 species
GUGAGCUCACGGACUGAUCGGGAGAGUGUUGCGUCGUUUAUUAGUUCCAAAUUUAAAAUAGAUAAAAUAAUAUACUAUUAUGUAUCCACAUAUCUAUAGUAAGUAAAAAACAUACAUACAGUCGAACGUAGAACCUCCUCCUUUUUGGAAGUCGUCAUAUAAUAUUCUUUUUCACAUUAAUCUUAAAACUCAUAAGUGGUGACACAUCGCACAUCAUAACAUCUACCUUUCAUCUCGAAAUAUUUAACAUGCUCGACAUUCAUUUCAUGGUUUUGUACAUUUAUGUAAAAUGGGCAUUUCUCGUGAUACCUUAUUACCUAUCAAUAAAAAUUGGGUGAUCAAAACAUUGAGGCAUUGUAAGUAAUGAUCUAUUUCUCCCCCAUAUGUUUAAUUUUUAAAUAGUAAUAGCAGAUUUUAGGACUACUCGUAGCUAGCUGAUCCAGUUUAUACUUACGAGAAAGGCUUAACCAUACAGUUUUUUUUUUUUAUAAAUAAAUAUACUGUCUGUAUGUAGUCUGAUAUGUCAUUUUGAAAAACAUGAAUUAAUUUGUUCCAAAUUCGUAAAUUCCUAUCUUAGUCAGCAUCAGGUGGAGUUGCAACCCAGAGCCUAAUUGUUAAAUUAAUUAUUAAUUUUAUAAAUAUGUCCUCUAAACUUUGCCUCCUCCCCUGAAUUUAAAUCCUUUAUGGGUAUUAAUAUAGGCUAAUAAUAAGGAUGGUAAACCGGUCUACAUUAUUAAGUUUCAUAGCCAUAGGGAGGGUAAUAUGUAGUGACAAGUAGUGUUGCCUCUCCAGGAGCGGCGGCUGCACGGGCGGCGGAGGCGGGGGGUGCUCCCCGGGCAGCUGCGGCGGCGCCUCGCCCGCCGGCGCGCCCUCGCCGCACCACUCGCAUGCUGCGCUCUCGGCGCUCACUGCGCACCAGGUGAGCGGCGUGCCGACGGCGCUGCACACUCCGGCGCCGACGCCCGACCCGCUGGCGCCGCCCACGCCCGCGCCGCCCUCGCAGCCGCCGCACAAGAACUACGCGCAGGGCGAGUCACCGGGAGGCGUCGGCGGCGCGACUAGCACGGGGUCUCCGAGCGGCGCGGGGUGC